UGGUUACGAUUUUCAUCUCUAAAGGCAUAUACGGAUUUUCAACUACCCAAGUGGAAUGACUAGAUCAGAUACAGAUACGACAAUUUACUCAGGUCUAUUUCCAGCUAGCCAAAUCAUAGUACGGUCUAUGGCCAUAGCCGUACCAAUCAUAGGGGCUCUAUCAGAUAUAUUCACGUUACCACUCUCAUCAGAUGGUACGCCUUCAUCCACCCUGAUCCUAACCUGGCCCUAUCAGAUAUAUAGGUAUGCUGGGCGCCGCACGCGCAGGCCUACUACGCGGACAAUGUAUGCACAGUGUGCGGCACUUAUCUACUCGUGAGGUGACGUGCGCAGGACCUGUCCCCAUGUUGUGCGCGCGGAUGGGAUGUGCGUGUUGUGCUCACGUCCCGUGUGUGCGUGCGUACAAAUGGGACAUGUGUUUUGUACGCACGUCUCGUGGCUAUUGUGCGUGUGUACGGAUGGGACGUGUGCGACAUACGCGUGAGCUGCUCU
rnacentral:lncRNA from 1 species